rnacentral:rRNA from 1 species
AAUGAUUGCAGCAAAAACACACAUAGUCGCGGAUCUCGGUAAUCUCAUGAAAAAUGGAUGUAACAAUCGACAAAACGGUAGUAGCAAAAUCCAAAACGGUUGUAGCAUAAGUGGUGCAAAUGGUUACAACCAAAAAGGACAUGGCAGCAAAAUUUUGGUUAGUUCCAGCAAAAAUUGAAGACGGUUGUAGCAAAUUCGCACACUGGUUCCAGCAAAGAAAAAACCGUGGUAGCAAAAAAUUGGUUGGUUUCAAUAAAAGCUGA